AUCUGGACGUGAAAUAAGUGCCCUAGAUCAGAACCUUGUUUCUGUCGGGCGGCACCCAGGGGAGCCUGCGCACAUCCAGACGGACCUGUGUUACCACAGACGUAACGUUAGCGACCCCUCAGACCGCGGCUGACCAUUCCCCACGCGUGACCCGGCCUCUCUAUCAGGACUGAAAGUGUAGGUUUAGCAGAAAAAAAAAAAAAAAAGAAAAAAAGCGAAGCAAAAAAACAUACUUUCAUGUUUUGUGAGUUUUCCUUUUUACUUUUCCGAAAAACAAAAAAACAACAACAAAAAAAGGCGGGAAAACUACAGAAUCACACAAGGCCUACCAGAUGGUACUUUGCCAUCGGAAUUAGGAUGGGUGUCUUCAAUUUGAAUUUCCUAGGCUCUUUAGCAAAGCCCAAAGGGCAGUAUCCACAGUUUGCAUGAAUUACGACUGUAAGCCCUUGCCCACUUCAGUUCUCUGUCUUUGUCCUUGAUCUUCUCUGCCAAAAUAAUGUGAGUGUACAGAAGUACUUCUGUAUAUUUCAGCUUAUGACAGUUUGUAUUCAAUUAGAGACCUUUUCUGUGGAAAGCUCAGUAAUUUUUAUUAAAAGAUUGCUAUUGUUCAUGUAAAACAUGAAAACCAGUUGUUCAGUGAACCGACAGUGUGGACUCCGGGCGGGAUGAAAGGUCCAGGACUGUGGUCUCACUCAGCAGAACUUGCAGGAGAGCAUUACAGUUGAUGUUGUUUUCCUUCUGCCCUCGUGCAGUUUUGUUUCGCUUCCUCUGCUCCUCCAGGUAACACAAGGUAACAUCCUGACAGAAAGUGCCCCUGCCAGCGGCACCCUCACCCCCCACCCCCCAGCCCCCCAGGAGCGCUAGUGGUCUCCGCCGCCUGGUUUAGGCGCUGCCUUCCGGCCAUGACUCAAGAGCGCUGUUGCUGUUAUCUUUAGGUCUAAGAGAAGACGUCCGAUGCUGAUGGGAGGCUGGUCUGUCAAGGUGUCCAGCAGCCGCCGUGUGAUCCGGGAGCCUCUGUGUCAUUCACGUGUCUGUCUCCACAGUUGUGCAAAAUGGCAGAUUCUACCAUCUGUGGGUCGUGCUUGCCAGACAGGUCUUCAAUUUUGUAUUUUUUGGAAAAGUUGAUAUAGUUUCUUGGCGAUUGUUAUGAAAGGAUCAAGCAAUCAGGAUAGCCAUUUCUUUAAUAUCCGUUUAAAAUCUGUUCAUUUCAUGUUAGUGGGACCGUGAACUUGUCACCAAGCAGAACUCUAUAUAAAACAAAAUUUUAAACUCUUUGUGGCCUAUAUGUGUUUAAUCCUGGUUAAAGAUAAAGCUUCUAAUGCUGUUUUUCUUCAACCUAUUAACCAGCUAUAAAACACAGACCUUUAUCAACAGCAGGCAAAGAAUUUCAAGAUUUAUAUACAAAUAGACUAUAAAGUCAUGUAAUUUGAAAAGCGGUGUUUCAUUAUGAAAGAGCUCUCAAGAUGCUUGUAAAGCUGAUCUAAUUAAAAAGAUGUAUAAAUGUUC
rnacentral:lncRNA from 1 species